GAUGAACGCUAGCUACAGGCUUAACACAUGCAAGUCGAGGGGCAUCAGGAAGAAAGCUUGCUUUCUUUGCUGGCGACCGGCGCACGGGUGAGUAACACGUAUCCAACCUGCCCUUUACUCGGGGAUAGCCUUUCGAAAGAAAGAUUAAUACCCGAUAGCAUAAUGAUUCCGCAUGGUUUCAUUAUUAAAGGAUUCCGGUAAAGGAUGGGGAUGCGUUCCAUUAGGUUGUUGGUGAGGUAACGGCCCACCAAGCCUUCGAUGGAUAGGGGUUCUGAGAGGAAGGUCCCCCACAUUGGAACUGAGACACGGUCCAAACUCCUACGGGAGGCAGCAGUGAGGAAUAUUGGUCAAUGGGCGCUAGCCUGAACCAGCCAAGUAGCGUGAAGGAUGAAGGCUCUAUGGGUCGUAAACUUCUUUUAUAUAAGAAUAAAGUGCAGUAUGUAUACUGUUUUGUAUGUAUUAUAUGAAUAAGGAUCGGCUAACUCCGUGCCAGCAGCCGCGGUAAUACGGAGGAUCCGAGCGUUAUCCGGAUUUAUUGGGUUUAAAGGGAGCGUAGGUGGACUGGUAAGUCAGUUGUGAAAGUUUGCGGCUCAACCGUAAAAUUGCAGUUGAUACUGUCAGUCUUGAGUACAGUAGAGGUGGGCGGAAUUCGUGGUGUAGCGGUGAAAUGCUUAGAUAUCACGAAGAACUCCGAUUGCGAAGGCAGCUCACUGGAUUGCAACUGACACUGAUGCUCGAAAGUGUGGGUAUCAAACAGGAUUAGAUACCCUGGUAGUCCACACAGUAAACGAUGAAUACUCGCUGUUUGCGAUAUACAGUAAGCGGCCAAGCGAAAGCAUUAAGUAUUCCACCUGGGGAGUACGCCGGCAACGGUGAAACUCAAAGGAAUUGACGGGGGCCCGCACAAGCGGAGGAACAUGUGGUUUAAUUCGAUGAUACGCGAGGAACCUUACCCGGGCUUAAAUUGCAGUGGAAUGAUGUGGAAACAUGUCAGUGAGCAAUCACCGCUGUGAAGGUGCUGCAUGGUUGUCGUCAGCUCGUGCCGUGAGGUGUCGGCUUAAGUGCCAUAACGAGCGCAACCCUUAUCUUCAGUUACUAACAGGUCAUGCUGAGGACUCUGGAGAGACUGCCGUCGUAAGAUGUGAGGAAGGUGGGGAUGACGUCAAAUCAGCACGGCCCUUACGUCCGGGGCUACACACGUGUUACAAUGGGGGGUACAGAAGGCAGCUAGCGGGUGACCGUAUGCUAAUCCCAAAAUCCUCUCUCAGUUCGGAUCGAAGUCUGCAACCCGACUUCGUGAAGCUGGAUUCGCUAGUAAUCGCGCAUCAGCCACGGCGCGGUGAAUACGUUCCCGGGCCU
rnacentral:rRNA from 1 species